CAGGUGUAGCGGUGAAAUGCGUAGAGAUCUGGAGGAAUACCGGUGGCGAAGGCGGCCCCCUGGACAAAGACUGACGCUCAGGUGCGAAAGCGUGGGGAGCAAACAGGAUUAGAUACCCUGGUAGUCCACGCCGUAAACGAUGUCUACUUGGAGGCUGUGCCCUUGAGGCGUGGCUUCCGGAGCUAACGCGUUAAGUAGACCGCCUGGGGAGUACGGCCGCAAGGUUAAAACUCAAAUGAAUUGACGGGGGCCCGCACAAGCGGUGGAGCAUGUGGUUUAAUUCGAUGCAACGCGAAGAACCUUACCUGGUCUUGACAUCCACAGAAGUUUGCAGAGAUGCGAAUGUGCCUUCGGGAACUGUGAGACAGGUGCUGCAUGGCUGUCGUCAGCUCGUGUUGUGAAAUGUUGGGUUAAGUCCCGCAACGAGCGCAAC
rnacentral:rRNA from 1 species